GACCCCACUAGGAGUGGAGCUUGUGGCUUAAUUUGACUCAACACGGGGAAACCUACCAGGUCCAGACAUAACAAGGAUUGACAGACUGAGAGCUCUUUCUUGAUUCUAUGGGUGGUGGUGCAUGGCCGUUCUAAGUUGGUGUAGCGAUUUGUCUGGUUAAUUCUGUUAACGAACGAGACCUCAGCCUGCUAACUAGCUAUGUGGAGCCAUCCCUCCGCAGCUAGCUUCUUAGAGGGACUAUCGCUGUUUAGGGUACGGAAGUUUGAGGCAAUAACAGGUUUGUGAUGCCCUUAGAUGUUCUGGGCUGCACGCGCGCUACAUGAUGUAUUCAACGAGUAUAUAGCCUUGGACGACAGGCCCGGGUAAUCUUGGGAAAUUUCAUCGUGAUGGGGAUAGAUCAUUGCAGUUGUUGGUCUUAAACGAGGAAUGCCUAGUAAGCGCGAGUCAUCGGCUCGCGCUGACUACGUCCCUGCC
rfam:Triticum aestivum genome assembly, contig: Triticum_aestivum_CS42_TGACv1_scaffold_030317_1BL